rnacentral:rRNA from 1 species
UACGAAGGGGGCUAGCGUUGCUCGGAAUCACUGGGCGUAAAGGGUGCGUAGGCGGGUCUUUAAGUCAGGGGUGAAAUCCUGGAGCUCAACUCCAGAACUGCCUUUGAUACUGAGGAUCUUGAGUUCGGGAGAGGUGAGUGGAACUGCGAGUGUAGAGGUGAAAUUCGUAGAUAUUCGCAAGAACACCAGUGGCGAAGGCGGCUCACUGGCCCGAUCCUGACGCUGAGGCACGAAGCGUGGGGAGCAAACAGG